rnacentral:tRNA from 1 species
GCGGGUGUAGUUUAGUGGUAAAACUACAGCCUUCCAAGCUGUUGUUGCGAGUUCGAUUCUCGUCACCCGCU